AGGACAAGCAUCCCCAUUUCCACCGUUUUUCUUGAGAUGGAAUUAAGUGACUCGCGGACUCAGUUAAAUCUAUAGGCAACUUGUACAUUAUCUCCUCAUAGAACUUGUAAGUAGAUUUCAGGAAAAAUCAUGACAAAUGCUCCUUUUUUUCCUCAGAGAACCACAGUUUGUUACUUUGAUUUGAUUUCAUGAAUUUGCCUUUUGGCCGAUGUUUUGUUUGUUGCACAAAUAAGAACUAAUGUGGGAAUUGUGUAUA